CGAGCACUCUUUGCGUUUCGUAAACCACAUUAUUUACGAAUAUAUCUUAAGCUAUAUAUAUAUAUAUAUUAUAUAUAUAUAUAUAUAUAUAUAUAAAUAUAUAUAAGUUUUUGGUUUACGAAACACAAACAGUGCUCA